rnacentral:lncRNA from 1 species
UGUAACAUGUGUGUAAAAGUCUUCUCAGAUUUCCUUUCCGUUUCUUUUCUGCAGAGAACUUCACAACCCUGAAGCCAGAGGCUAAAUCUGAUGAGCUUAGCAGGUAGGUGAGAGGAGGGCUGGACCCGUGGGUGAGACGUACUGGGGACUGUGGAGGAGGGGUCUGCCUGGCUUGGGUGCGGGGACUUGGGUGUGGGACCAUGGCUCUGGAGGUUGGGGCAGAGGAGAGAGGCUGAAAAUGGAGGCAGGAAAUGGGUAGGAAUUGGAUACAUGGAAGCCCAGAGAUGGAAGAACUCCUCCAAGUGUCGGAGGCCCCAGGGCAAUUCUGUGGGUGGUCACGGACCCUGGGUCAAGGCAGCUGGAACACCUUCAUUUCUCUCAUUUGCUUCUCCCAGCUUGGGCACCGCGGCCACAGCCAUUUCUGGCUCUGUCGGUGUUGUGGCUCUCAUCUUGCUCCUGGUGGGUCUCUUGUCCAUGACCCUGAAGAAGUGGAGACAUGAGAGACUGUUUCAGAAACAGCUGAGGCACCAGACCGACUUUCUCCAUAAAACUUCGGAGAUUUCCUGCCAUGCUGAUGCCAUAUAUUCCAACGUGAUCAACCUGGAUCCCUGGAAAGAGGACGACUUUGCUGUCUAUGGCAACGUGCCCCCUUUCGAUCGCCCCAGGAAGACGUCCCCAGACCGAGUGGAAUAUGCCUCCAUUGUAUUCCGCUGAUGGGAGGCUGGCGACAUGCUUCAGACAACGAAGCCUUCUAACGCCUGCUUCGGGGAUAGACGCUCCCAUGGCCACCCGCACCACCCCCUUGGGUCACCACUGUCGGCUCUCCAUCUCAGCCCUUCGGUUACUGUGCUCAGCCUUUGCCAAAUAAACUAAUUUCCCCGAGUCCAGGCUUUCUCAUCUGUAAAACGGAAAUACUAAUGGCUACUUCAACAGGUGCCGUCUGAUGAUGUUACAUGAAAAUAUUCUAUAAACUAAAAGAUGCUA